CCUGCUGCAACCAAUCAGGUCACUCACAUGGUGCCCCACCCUUGGAGGCUCCACCCACCUCAAUCCCACCCUGGGCACUGCCCUGUCCCACCCACAAUAACCCCACCCACUGCAGCCCCACCCUCCAGUGCCCACACCCACAUCAACCACACCCACUGAAGCCACGCCCUCGGUGUCCCCAGCCCUGUCCCACCCAUUGCAGUCCUGCCCUUUAGACUCCACCCAUUGUGACCACACCCACUGUAACCACGCCCACCAAAGCCCCGCCCACACCUGUCAGUGAUGUGCAGGGGCAGCGCCUGCCCCGUGGUGGCCUCGAAGGUCUGGUACAGGCGGGUCACCAGCUCGAUGAGGUGGUCACUGACCAGCAGGAAGUCACCUUUGGCUCCCACUGUGGACACCUGUGGGGCAAACGGGGGGUCAGCCCUGCUGGGGACCCCUGAGCCCCCAGGACCCCCCUCCCCAGAUACCUCCUUGAGGUGCAGGGCCAGGAAGCCGUCAGAGAAGCGGGUGACGGAGACGCCACGGAUGUCACUGAGGCUGAGCACGGUCUUGGGCUGGGCAGCCUUGGGGUCAGCCAGGACCAGGUGCUCGGUGAGCACGAACCCAAAGCAGCUCUCACCUUCCCACUGGCCCUGUUCACCUUCCUCACGCUGUCAGCCAGCACCAGCUUGUCCUUGGCCACCGCGUGCAGCUUCUGGUACUUGGGGUUCUGCUUCAGCCCCAGGUACUCCCCGCGGAACGGCUGCUGCAGGCUGGGGACGAGGCCAUCAGCACCACUGCCCUGAGCCCCCCUGCACCCCCAGCCCCCUGCCCUGGCACCUUUUGGGGUAGAGGGUCUUCUUGUCCUUGAAGAGCUCGCUGGCGCAGAGCCUGGCCUGCAGCUGCGCCCGCCGCGACGCCGACAGCUGGUCACGGUACUUCUUGCACUGCCGAGGGAAGGGGAUGAUUUGAUGCCACCAAAAACCUCUCUCAGGAACCUGUAGGGCGCCGGGGGCCAGGUCCGGUCGGUCACCGACAGCGGCGGGAGGUUCUUUGCCAGCCCCACCAGGUCUUGCGUGCCUGUGGGGACAGCGCCAGCGGUGAGGACACCAGGACAUCAUCACCAGCCCCACAAAGGGUCCCACAUGUCCCCCCUGUUCCCUACAUCCCCCAUGUCCCCCACACCCCCCAUCCGUGUUUGGCCCCAGUGGAGAGGACAGAGUCUCCAGCCCGACAGGGUGGGCAGACAGACAGACGGCACGGACAGCAGGACAGAGCGGCCUGAGGGCGCGUGGCCCCGUUACCUGGUACCCUCUCCAGUGAGCAGCGAUGGUGGUGGCGGCCGCGUGGCGUCGGCACUGGGACUUCAGCUCCCGGAGGAGCCGGCGAGACUGCGGGGGUGAGAGCCCAGGGAGCCCCAGGGGGAGACACCAACACAGACAUGGAGAGCGAGGGAGAGGCAGGUGGAGAAGGAGGAGAGAAGGAGGAAAGACGGGGAGAGGAGAUGAGGGUGAAUCUGGUCCCACCGUGGGACGCACGGAGCUCCUGGUGCCAGCGUGGGGCACGCAGAGCCCCUGUGCCCACCCACCCUGCUCCCCCACACCAGGCCAGCCCCUUGGUGGCCCUGGGGCUGCCCAGCUCUCACCUUCCAGCCCCGUGCAUAAGCCUGGAGGAUCAGUACUGAACGCUUCAUCUGCUUGUACUGGUUCUUUUGCUGCGGGGAAACAUGAGGAUGAGUGGGGUGGGCUUGGAGAGCCAGGAGGAGAGGGAUGG